UUAAUUGAAGAGUUUGAUCAUGGCUCAGAUUGAACGCUGGCGGCAGGCCUAACACAUGCAAGUCGAACGGUAACAGGGAGCAGCUUGCUGCUCUGCUGACGAGUGGCGGACGGGUGAGUAAUGUCUGGGAAACUGCCUGAUGGAGGGGGAUAACUACUGGAAACGGUAGCUAAUACCGCAUAACGUCUACGGACCAAAGUGGGGGACCUUCGGGCCUCAUGCCAUCAGAUGUGCCCAGAUGGGAUUAGCUAGUAGGUGGGGUAACGGCUCACCUAGGCGACGAUCCCUAGCUGGUCUGAGAGGAUGACCAGCCACACUGGAACUGAGACACGGUCCAGACUCCUACGGGAGGCAG
rnacentral:rRNA from 1 species